rnacentral:rRNA from 1 species
CCUACGGGAGGCAGCAGUGGGGAAUAUUGCACAAUGGGGGAAACCCUGAUGCAGCGACGCCGCGUGAGUGAAGAAGUAUUUCGGUAUGUAAAGCUCUAUCAGCAGGGAAGAAAAUGACGGUACCUGAUUAAGAACCCCCGCCUAACUACGUCCCAGCAGCCGCGGUAAUACGUAGGGGGCAAGCGUUAUCCGGAUUUACUGGGUGUAAGGGGAGCGUAGACGGCAGCACAAGUCUGGAGGGAAAUGCCGGGGCUUAACCCCGGAACUGCUUUGGAAACUGUGCAGCUAGAGUGCAGGAGAGGUAAGUGGAAUUCCUAGUGUAGCGGUGAAAUGCGUAGAUAUUAGGAGGAACACCAGUGGCGAAGGCGGCUUACUGGACUGUAACUGACGUUGAGGCUCGAAAGCGUGGGGAGCAAACAGGAUUAGAUACCCCUGUAGUC